AUUGAACGCUGGCGGCAGGCCUAACACAUGCAAGUCGAACGGUAACAGGAAGAAGCUUGCUUCUUUGCUGACGAGUGGCGGACGGGUGAGUAAUGUCUGGGAAACUGCCUGAUGGAGGGGGAUAACUACUGGAAACGGUAGCUAAUACCGCAUAACGUCGCAAGACCAAAGAGGGGGACCUUCGGGCCUCUUGCCAUCGGAUGUGCCCAGAUGGGAUUAGCUAGUAGGUGGGGUAACGGCUCACCUAGGCGACGAUCCCUAGCUGGUCUGAGAGGAUGACCAGCCACACUGGAACUGAGACACGGUCCAGACUCCUACGGGAGGCAGCAGUGGGGAAUAUUGCACAAUGGGCGCAAGCCUGAUGCAGCCAUGCCGCGUGUAUGAAGAAGGCCUUCGGGUUGUAAAGUACUUUCUGCGGGGAGGAAGGGAGUAAAGUUAAUACCUUUACUCAUUGACGUUACCCGCAGAAGAAGCACCGGCUAACUCCGUG
rnacentral:rRNA from 1 species